GAUGCCGACACUCCCUCCCCGAUGGUCUCAUGAGAGCCACUGAUGUCAUGAUUGCUGGCAAGGUUGCUGUGGUCUGUGGGUAUGGAGAUGUUGGGAAGGGCUGUGCUGCCGCGCUCAAGCAGGCUGGUGCCCAGGUUAUCGUGACUGAGAUUGAUCCAAUUUGUGCUCUCCAAGCCCUAAUGGAAGGUAUCCCAGUCCUAACCUUGGAAGAUGUAGUCUCAAAGGCUGACAUCUUUGUGACCACCACUGGGAACAAAGACAUCAUCAUGGUUCACCACAUGAAGCAGAUGAAGAACAAUGCAAUUGUUUGUAACAUUGGCCACUUUGACAAUGAGAUUGAUAUGCUUGGUCUGGAAACCUACCCUGGUGUUAAGCGCAUCACAAUCAAGCCCCAAACUGAUCGAUGGGUUUUCCCAGAAACCAACAGUGGCAUCAUUAUUCUCGCUGAGGGACGACUGAUGAACUUAGGAUGUGCAA
rnacentral:lncRNA from 1 species